UACGUAGGGUGCAAGCGUUAAUCGGAAUUACUGGGCGUAAAGCGUGCGCAGGCGGUUGUGCAAGACAGAUGUGAAAUCCCCGGGCUUAACCUGGGAAUGGCAUUUGUGACUGCACGGCUAGAGUGUGUCAGAGGGGGGUAGAAUUCCACGUGUAGCAGUGAAAUGCGUAGAUAUGUGGAGGAAUACCGAUGGCGAAGGCAGCCCCCUGGGCCUGCACUGACGCUCAUGCACGAAAGCGUGGGGAGCAAACAGG
rnacentral:rRNA from 1 species